UAGUAACUGCGAGUGAAGCGGGAAGAGCUCAAAUUUUGAAUCUGGCGGUCCUCGUGGUCGUCCGAGUUGUAAUCUAGAGAAGCGUUUUCCGCGCUGGACCGUGUACAAGUCUCCUGGAACGGAGCGUCAUAGAGGGUGAGAAUCCCGUCUCUGACACGGACUACCAGGGCUUUUGUGAUGCGCUCUCGACGAGUCGAGUUGUUUGGGAAUGCAGCUCAAAUUGGGUGGUAAAUUCCAUCUAAAGCUAAAUACAGGCGAGAGACCGAUAGCGAACAAGUACCGUGAGGGAAAGAUGAAAAGAACUUUGGAAAGAGAGUUAAACAGUACGUGAAAUUGCUGAAAGGGAAACGCUUGAAGUCAGUCGCGUUGGCCGGGGAUCAGCCUUGCAAUCUUGUUGGGUGCAUUUCCUGGUUGACGGGUCAGCAUCGAUUUUGACCGUCGGAGAAGGGUCGAGGGAAUGUGGCAUCCUUCGGGGUGUGUUAUAGCCUUUGAUCGUAUGCGACGGUUGGGAUCGAGGAACUCAGCAUGACCCCUCGUGGGUUUGGGGCUUCGGCUCACAUCCAUGCUUAGGAUGCUGGCAUAAUGGCUUUAAGCGACCCGUCUUGAAACACGGACCAAGGAGUCUAACAUGCCCGCGAGUGUUUGGGUGUUUAAAACCCGAGCGCGUAAUGAAAGUGAAAGUUGAGACCUCUGUCGUGGAGGGCAUCGACGCCCGGACCAGAACUUUUGUGACGGCCCUGCGGUAGAGCGUGUAUGUUGGGACCCGAAAGAUGGUGAACUAUGCCUGAAUAGGGUGAAGCCAGAGGAAACUCUGG
rnacentral:rRNA from 1 species